UAGCUCAGUUGGUAGAGCAUGGCACUUGGAAUGCCAGAGCAAUGGGUUCAAUUCCCAG
rnacentral:tRNA from 1 species